UCCCUGGUGGUCCAGUGGUUAGGACUCCACCCUUCCAAUGCAGGGGGUACAGGUUCGACUCCUGGUCGGGGAA
rnacentral:tRNA from 1 species